GACGAACGCUGGCGGCGUGCCUAAUACAUGCAAGUAGGACGCAGUUGCGAACGGGUGAGUAACGCGUAGGUAACUGCCUAUUAGAGGGGGAUAACUAUUGGAAACGAUAGCUAAUACCGCAUACUAGUAGAUGGACCUACGUUGUAUUAACUAGUAGGUAGGGUAAUGGCCUACCUAGGCGACGAUACAUAGUCGACCUGGGGGGGGUGUCGGCCACACGUGGAAUGGGGCACCGGCCAAACUCCUACGGGGGGCAGCAAUAGGGGAUCUUCGGCAAUGGGGGGAAACCUGACCGAGGAAAGGCGCGUGGGUGGAUAAAGGUUUCCGGUCUGAAAGCUCUGUUGUUAAGGGAGCGGUACUUAACCAGAAAGGGACGGCUAACUACGUGCCAGCAGCCGCGGUAAUAC
rnacentral:rRNA from 1 species